GGUCCGUUGGUCAAGGGGUUAAGACACCGCCUUUUCACGGCGGUAACACGGGUUCGAAUCCUGUACGGACUA
rnacentral:tRNA from 2 species